GGGUGCAGUACCUUUAAACCAAUCAAGAAUCAUUUAAUCAUAUGUUCAAGAUAUGCAAACUCAAAAAGUAAGGCUGGUUAAUACAUUAGUUGCAUACUGAAGAACAAAUGAAAAUUUGGUUGUCAUCACUCAUCAUCACCCCAGGCAUCAUGCUUCAAGUUUUGUCUUGAAACUAUCCGGUUCUUCCUGGCUUCCUCCUGUCUCCUAUAUUCUCUGGACCCAAAGUCUGUAGAAGGCAACUUUAUACCCAUACUUUGAGCAAUCAGCCUCUGGGCGGUUCUAGCUGAUGUCUGAGGUCUUCUACGAGGAGGCUCCAGAUCUCUUGGUGGAAUUGAGUUCAAAAGUUCAUCUUCCUCGCACAGUACCCUCACUGUAAAUGGACAAUGUAUCGAGUUGCUGGCCUCUAAUGCAAGGGUUGGUGUUCUGAACACUGCAAGUGCAACUGUA
rnacentral:misc_RNA from 1 species